UUUAGUUUUGCAUAACCUCCCUUUUGUUUUGUUUUAUAAUAACAAUAAUAAUAUAAUAAUUUGAUAAUACUGGACGCAGGCAAAAGCCUAUAUAUCCAGAUCAUAUGUAUGGUCAGUCGCCCCGACAGUGAAUAAGUUCAUUAUUGUCAAUUUCAUGAUUAUAAAAACCUUCUGGUUGUCCCCAGUGCUUAUCAAGCCGGGCUUCAAACGUUUUUAUUGUUGGUGAUGUGACGACGUGAUUUGGCAGGGAAUUCCAAUGGGUUGACCGCUCUUUCUUUAAAGGAAUAAUUUCUUAAGUUCCAAAGUUCUACUUAGUUGUUUUGGAUACAACAAUAGCACAUUAUGUUGUACCAGGACACUUUCGUAGACUAGGGAUGCAGCUGCUGAUCAGUCGGCUAAAGCGAUAGUACAACUAUAUGAAGUGUAGGAUUCAAUCCUAAUAUAGCCAUACUGUAUUUGUACACCUUCAACACUGUUGUUGAAUAGAUUUUGUUUAUUUCAUCUUUAUUUAUUUUUUCAUAAAAGUCGUGUAAGGUAUGGGUUUCCUUUCAGAAAUGAUUUAACAAAGCUAAAGUCAUGCCCGAAAGUCAAGCUAAAGUCAUGCCUGAAAGUCAAGCUAAAGUCAUGCCCGAAAGUCAAGCUUAAGUCAUGCCCGAAAGUCAUGCCCGAAAGACAAGCUAAAGUCAUGCCCGAAAGUCAAGUUCCGGCGCAAAAUUAUGGUUUCUGGCAGUGGUACAGGGAUCCUUCAAACGACUAAUGAUCUGAAUUUUAUUUUUGAUAAUUUUGAUUUUAUAGCAUUUUUAAUGAAAUGAAUCUUCAUCAGUUUUAUAUUGUAACAUUCGUUUUCUACGCACCUUUUAAGUCUUAAAUACGACUUUCAAAAAGUCGUUUUACAUAUAUUUUGAUAUAUAUAUACAUUUUGUUAUGUUGCCUUAUAGAACGUUAGUGCAUAUAAAAAAUAUAUGAAAAAUAUUGAAAUAAACUUUGAAAUGAAA